rnacentral:rRNA from 1 species
GCAUAUCAAUAAGCGGAGGAAAAGAAACUAACAAGGAUUCCCCUAGUAACGGCGAGUGAAGCGGGAUGAGCUCAAAUUUGUAAUCUGGUGGACUCAGUUCAUCCGAGUUGUAAUCUAUAGAAGUGUUUUCCGCGCUGGACCGUGUCUAAGUCCCUUGGAACAGGGUGUCAGAGAGGGUGAGAAUCCCGUGCUUGAUACGACCACCAGUGCUAUGUGAUACACUUUCAACGAGUCGAGUUGUUUGGGAAUGCAGCUCAAAAUGGGUGGUAAAUUCCAUCUAAAGCUAAAUAUUGGCGAGAGACCGAUAGCGAACAAGUACCGUGAGGGAAAGAUGAAAAGCACUUUGGAAAGAGAGUUAAACAGUACGUGAAAUUGUUAAAAGGGAAACGAUUGAAGUCAGUCGUGCUCUCUGGGACUCAGCCGGUUCUUCCGGUGUACUUCCCAGUGAGCGGGUCAACAUCAGUUUAGAUCGCUGGAUAAAGGUAUUAGGAAGGUGGCUCCCUCGGGAGUGUUAUAGCCUAGUAUCGCAUACAGUGGUUUAGACUGAGGAACGCAGCUCGCCUUUAUGGCCGGGGUUCGCCCACGUCCGAGCUUAGGAUGUUGACAUAAUGGCUUUAAACGACCCGUCUUGAAACACGGACC